GUGGCAUUCAUGUUGGUGUGGGAUAGUGAUGGAAUGAUGGAUGGUUGUGGUGAUAGUGAUGUUGGCACUGGGAUUGUGAUGGAGUGAUGGAAGUUGUGGUGACAGUGGUGUUGGUGUUGGGAUUGUGAUGGAGUGAUGGAUGGUGGUGGUGACAGUGGUGUUGGUGUUAUUGGGAUAGUGAUGGAGUGAUGGAUGUUGUGGUGACAGUGGUAUUGGUGUUGGGAUAGUGAUGGAGUGAUGGAUGUUGUGGUGACAGUGGUGUUGGUGUUGGGAUAGUGAUGGAGUGAUGGAUGUUGUGGUGACAGUGGUGUUGGUGUUGGGAUUGUGAUGGAGUGAUGGAUGGUGGUGGUGGCAGUGGUGUUGGUGUUGGGAUAGUGAUGGAGUGAUGGAUGGUUGUGCUGACAGUCGUAUUUGUGUUGGGACUUUGAUGGAGUGAUGGAUAGUUGCGGUGGUAGUGAUGUUAAUAUUGGAAUAGUAAUGGAGUGAUGGAUGGUUGUGGUGAUAGUUGUGUUGGUGUUGGGAUAGUGAUUGAGUGAUGGAUGGUGGUGGUGAUAGUGUUGUUGGUUUUGGGAUAGUGAUAAAGUGAAGCAUCUUUUUAGUGACAGUGAUGGUGGUAACAUCAAGGAUGAUGAUGGAAGUAGUGGAGGUUGAAGUGUGGUUUGUUGGUGAAGUUUGUGAUAAAUAUGGUGAUAAAGUUGGAAGAAAUGAUAGAGGUGCU
rnacentral:lncRNA from 1 species